rnacentral:SRP_RNA from 1 species
UUGCGCUAGGCGGGGAGCCAGCGGUGCCCUGUAACCCGAAAUCCGCUUUAUGCGGGGCCGAAGUCCUCCCUAAGGGCAUUUACUUAAUAAACGAAUAGAUUAUCUUGGAAGCCGCGUAACGAAUGCUUACGAACCUCGUCAGGUCCGGAAGGAAGCAGCGAUAAGUAUGAAUAUUCGGGUAGCGGACAAUUUCGGGAUAAGCUGUUGUUUGUUAAUAGAAGCUCGUAAGGAGGCGCGCAA